UGGGGAAUAUUGCACAAUGGGCGCAAGCCUGAUGCAGCCAUGCCGCGUGUAUGAAGAAGGCCUUCGGGUUGUAAAGUACUUUCAGCGGGGUGGAAGGGAGUAAAGUUAAUACCUUUGCUCAUUGACGUUACCCGCAGAAGAAGCACCGGCUAACUCCGUGCCAGCAGCCGCGGUAAUACGGAGGGUGCAAGCGUUAAUCGGAAUUACUGGGCGUAAAGCGCACGCAGGCGGUUUGUUAAGUCAGAUGUGAAAUCCCCGGGCUCAACCUGGGAACUGCAUCUGAUACUGGCAAGCUUGAGUCUCGUAGAGAGGGGUAGAAUUCCAGGUGUAGCGGUGAAAGGCGUAGAGAUCUGGAGGAAUACCGGUGGCGAAGGCGGCCCCCUGGACGAAGACUGACGCUCAGGUGCGAAAGCGUGGGGAGCAAACAGG
rnacentral:rRNA from 1 species